GACGAACGCUGGCGGCGUGCUUAACACAUGCAAGUCGAACGGAAAGGCCCUGCUUGUGUGGGAUGCUCGAGUGGCAAACGGGUGAGUAACACGUGAGUAACCUGCCCUUGACUUUGGGAUAACUUCAGGAAACUGGGUCUAAUACCGGAUAGGAGCUCCUGCUGCAUGGUGGGGGUUGGAAAGUUUCGGCGGUUGGGGAUGGACUCGCGGCUUAUCAGCUUGUUGGUGGGGUAGUGGCUUACCAAGGCUUUGGCGGGUCGCCGGCCUGAGAGGGUGACCGGCCACAUGGGGAUUGAGAUACGGCCCAGACUCCUACGGGAGGCAGCAGUGGGGAAUAUUGCACAAGGGGCGGAAGCCUGAUGCAGCACCGCCGGGUGCGGGAUGACGGCUUUCGGUUGGUAAACCGCUUUCGCCUGUGACGAAGCUUGAGUGGCGGUAAUGGGUAAAGAAGCACCGGCUAACUACGUG
rnacentral:rRNA from 1 species